AUUUGAAGCAAGAAAAUGGAAGUAGCAUGGAAAAUGGAGGACUUGAGUCUGGACAGAAAAUACUAAGAUAUAUCAGGGAAUCACUGGCAAGAUGAGGAGAUCAGUAACUAUGGGUCGCAAUGGCAUGAUCUCAACUCCUUUAUUCCUUACAGCUGCUUCAGGAAGACCACGAGAACCAAUAGGACCUGGAGGACCAGCAGGGCCAGACUCGCCCUAAUAUCAGAAAAAUCAAUGGAUAAUUAAA